GGGGACUAACAUAGUGAAAAUUAUGUAUAUUAGUGAUACAUAGGCGGGGUAGCUUGUGGAAAAGGCAAUUAACCUGCAGCCAACUAAAGAGGUGUGUAGAAUACUUUCUAAUAAGAAGCUCCCUUCCUUUUUAGAAGGAGCGAAUGUUAAAUCUCUUAGAACCCCCUAUCCUUUUUGCCAUCAUCAAAAGAUAUAAGACCCCUUUGGAAGUGAGACCAGUCGUUGAAAAGAGAUCUGCCCCUAUAUUUUUAUUGGAGAAGCACAUUACAAAAUGGUGCUUAGAUAGAAUGGGAGGAUACCAGUGGAGUGUUACAUCUACAAUGCAACUAAUUGAUGCUUUAUUAGAAGUUGGCCUGUUGCCCGAUGAGAUCAUGGGCAUGUAUGAUUUUAAAACCUUAUACUCAUCAAUUUAAGUUGGAGCCAGUCUGUCUCCUCUUGUAUAGAUUCUUUUUCGAACACCUACCAUGUAAUCAAUGUGACCCAGC
rnacentral:lncRNA from 1 species